UUGAGUUCCUGCAUUUUCACAGAGCUGGCUCAGGAGACACAUACAGUUCACAUGAGUCUUUUUUUAUACUGACACUUGCAUGACAGCAUGGCUUUAUACAGCUACGAAAAAUAAGGCAAAGUCAUUAAGAUGAAGGAGCUCAUUCAUUGGCGCUAUCCUGUAAAAGCUUUAAUCAUUCUUCUCGUAACUGCUGAACUUGCCGCUUUAUCAGAUUUAGACUGUAAAGAACUCACACAAUGCAAAGUGGAAAUAACCAGGUUGCAGUCCUUUGUACAAAUGACUAACACAAAUAUCCCAGCAUUAGAAAACUUCACAUGGUGCUUGGAUUUAUCACGUGCUGUUAACACCAGCACUUGGACAGCAUUUUCAUAUGUGGUUGCAAAUAAAGAUUAUGACAAAAACCCUGAACUUGGAUUUGGCGGUUUUAACAACAAGCUUGUGCUAUUUCAUUUGGAAA